CACGUAGGGCGCAAGCGUUGUCCGGAAUUAUUGGGCGUAAAGAGCUCGUAGGCGGUCUGUUACGUCUGCUGUGAAAACCCAGGGCUUAACCCUGGGCUUGCAGUGGAUACGGGCAGACUAGAGGCAGGUAGGGGAGAAUGGAAUUCCCGGUGUAGCGGUGAAAUGCGCAGAUAUCGGGAGGAACACCGGUGGCGAAGGCGGCCCCCUGGCCCGCAACUGACGCUCAUGGUCGAAAGCGUGGGGAGCAAACAGG
rnacentral:rRNA from 1 species